ACAAGUGUAAGUGGGUAAGUGUUUAAAUGUGUAAGUGCAUAAUUGUUUAAGUGUGUAGUGCAUCAGUGUGUAGUUGCAUAAGUGCGUAAGUGCAUAAGUGUUUAAGUGCACAAGUGUGUAAGUGUUUAAAUGUUUAAGUGCAUAAUUGUUUACGUGUGUAGUGCAUAAGUGUGUAAGUGCAUAAGAGUGUGUUUAAGUGUGUAAGUGUACAAGUAUUUAAGUGCAUAGUGCAUAAGCUUGUAAGUGGUUAAGUGCGUAAGUGCAUAAGUGUUUAUGUGCAUAGUGCAUAAGUGUGUAAGUGCGUGUUUAAGUGCAUAAGUAAAUGCAUGAGUCAGUGC
rnacentral:lncRNA from 1 species